AGGACGAACGCUGGCGGCGUGCUUAACACAUGCAAGUCGAACGGAAAGGCCCUUUCGGGGGUACUCGAGUGGCGAACGGGUGAGUAACACGUGGGUGAUCUGCCCUGCACUUUGGGAUAAGCCUGGGAAACUGGGUCUAAUACCGAAUACACCUUGCUGGCUGCAUGGCCUGGUGGGGGAAAGCUUUUGCGGUGUGGGAUGGGCCCGCGGCCUAUCAGCUUGUUGGUGGGGUGAUGGCCUACCAAGGCGACGACGGGUAGCCGGCCUGAGAGGGUGUCCGGCCACACUGGGACUGAGAUACGGCCCAGACUCCUACGGGAGGCAGCAGUGGGGAAUAUUGCACAAUGGGCGCAAGCCUGAUGCAGCGACGCCGCGUGAGGGAUGACGGCCUUCGGGUUGUAACCUCUUUCAGUAUCGACGAAGCGCAAGUGACGGUAGGUACAGAAGAAGCACCGGCCAACUACGCGCCAGCAGCCGCGGU
rnacentral:rRNA from 1 species